rnacentral:rRNA from 1 species
UACAGGGGGGGCAAGCGUUGUUCGGAAUUACUGGGCGUAAAGGCUCGUAGGCGGCCAACUAAGUCACACGUGAAAUCCCCAGGCUUAACCUGGGAACUGCGUGUGAUACUGGAUGGCUUGAAUCCGGGAGAGGGAUGCGGAAUUCCAGGUGUAGCGGUGAAAUGCGUAGAUAUCUGGAGGAACACCGGGUGGCGAAGGCGGAC